rnacentral:rRNA from 1 species
UAAGGAAUAUUGGACAAUGGUCGGAAGACUGAUCCAGCCAUGCCGCGUGAAGGAUGAAGGCGCUCAGCGUUGUAAACUUCUUUUGUACGGGAACAAAAUGCGACCUGCGGGUUGUACUGAGGGUACCGUAAGAAUAAGCACCGGCUAACUCCGUGCCAGCAGCCGCGGUAAUACGGAGGGUGCAAGCGUUAUCCGGAAUCACUGGGUUUAAAGGGUGCGUAGGCGGUUUGAUAAGUCAGUUGUGAAAUUCCCUCGCUCAACGAGUGGGACUGCGAUUGAUACUGUUGAACUUGAAUCAGGUUGAGGUAGGCGGAAUGUGGCAUGUAGCGGUGAAAUGCAUAGAUAUGCCAUAGAACACCAAUUGCGAAGGCAGCUUGCUGGGCUUUGAUUGACGCUGAGG